AUCAUUCGAAGGUGUUUUAAAGGGUUACUGCAACGCAGCGUUUUGAAGCGGUUGCUUAAAUUCCAAGUCAUCAUUAACUUUUCCCGCCUUGCGAGUAGUUGAGGAGUCAAAAUCGCGUGACCGUCAGAUCGUUUCGAUCUAACGGCUGAGGGUUUUUCUGACGGUUUUUGCCAGUUUCAGAGUCAUUAAUGCAGGGUUUGCAACCGUCAUUUCAGUUUUCCCUGCAUUUCGAAUUCCAGAGCAUCCUAUCGUCUUUCUUCUCCGUCUUGCUUCAUCGGAAUCUUUCCUUUCCCAUUCCUCCAAGUCACUCCAUUAUCUCAGGUAGACAUGAGUUCUUCCCUUGGCCUAGAUUGUCCGUCAUCGGUGGUGGAAGAAAGGGGGCAAGAGGUGCCAACCAGUUCAUCUGAUAGGCCUCCCGUCGUAGUCCAGGUAGGUAUUUCCACCAUUCUUCACGGCAGUAGGGUUUUUGUCCA
rnacentral:lncRNA from 1 species